rnacentral:rRNA from 1 species
UUGGAGGGCAAGUCUGGUGCCAGCAGCCGCGGUAAUUCCAGCUCCAAUAGCGUAUAUUAAAGUUGUUGCAGUUAAAAAGCUCGUAGUUGAAUUUCGGGACCUGUGGGUUGGUCGUGCCUCCGGUACGUACUGGCUCUACCGGUUCCUCCCUUCUGAAGAACCACGAUGUCAUUAAUUUGGUGUCGUGGGGAAUCAGGACUGUUACUUUGAAAAAAUUAGAGUGUUUAAAGCAGGCUAAAGCUUGAAUAGAUUAGCAUGGAAUAACGAAAUAGGACGUUUGAUCUUAUUUUGUUGGUUUCUAAGAUCGACGUAAUGAUUAAUAGGGAUAGUUGGGGGCAUUAGUAUUCAAUUGUCAGAGGUGAAAUUCUUGGAUUUAUUGAAGACUAACUACUGCGAAAGCAUUUGCCAAGGAUGUUUUCAUUAAUCAAGAACGAAAGUUAGGGGAUCGAAGACGAUCAGAUACCGUCGUAGUCUUAACCAUAAACUAUGCCGACUAGGGAUCGGAUGAUGUUAAUUUUUUAAUGACUCAUUCGGCGCCUUACGGGAAAC